UUUAAGCGUAACCAUGAGUUUUCGUGUUUAACUUUGAUCGUCCGUCUUAUUUGAAAUUUUUUUAUGAUUGGUAUUUUUAUUGUUAUUGGAUAAUAACUCAUGAAUAGUACUUUAUGCAUGAAUUAUGUUUUUAAUUUUUUCAAAUAAAACGGACGAUUAAAAUUGGACACGGAAACUCAUGGCUGCGGUUAAA
rfam:Oryza punctata chromosome 8, whole genome shotgun sequence.